GCCCUCGUAGUCCAAUUGGCAGAGGCGUCCGGUUGAGGGCCGGGAUGGUAUGGGUUCGAAUCCCAUCGAGGGCA
rnacentral:tRNA from 1 species